GGACUAGGGCCUCCCUCUGGGGCCCCACACCCAUGCUGGCAAGCAUCAGGAGCAGGGAGAGGCCCAGAACUGUCACUCCCUGGGCACAGUCCCACAGUGUCCUCAACCGGACAGUCCUGUUCUGCCCUUUCUCCUGUGGGGAGGAGCUGGAGGAUCAGAAGAGCACA
rnacentral:lncRNA from 1 species